rnacentral:rRNA from 1 species
UGGGCGAAAGCCUGACGGAGCAAUACCGCGUGAGGGACGAAGGCCUGUGGGUUGUAAACCUCUUUUGUUAGGGAAGAUAAUGACGGUACCUAACGAAUAAGCAUCGGCUAACUCCGUGCCAGCAGCCGCGGUAAGACGGAGGAUGCAAGCGUUAUCCGGAAUUAUUGGGCGUAAAGCGUACGUAGGCUGUUUUAUAAGUCUGUUGUCAAAGCCCGAGGCUCAACCUUGGAUCGGCAAUGGAAACUGUGAGACUAGAGAGAGAUAGGGGCAGGAGGAAUUCCAUGGUGUAGCGGUGAAAACUGCGUAGGAUAUCUGGAA